rnacentral:tRNA from 1 species
AAGUGAGAAGCAAAAUUUGCAAUCAGUUUCGACCUGAUCUUAGAUAAAAUUUAUCCUUACUUU